UUGGUGGUGUCCCCAGACAAAUUCGGCAUGCUCAUGAUGCCCUGUGAUGCAUGUACUUGACAAUCAUUUCAUUUCUAACCACCGUGUCACACAGCUGACUUGCGGCCCCUGCGGAUUAUUUUGGGGGAUUGUUAAAGAGACUGGGCAACCUGGAGGAACCAACUCUACAACCUAGACCGGUACUAAAUCAAUGCGGAGCUUGGUGACUGUUGAUUUCAAAAUGACAGACAGGCAACGGAGAGCCCAGUGGGGUGAAACUGGAGUUAACUGUGUCUGCACCGGAGACAGAGCCGGACCAUGGACAGAGCACAGUGAAAAAGGAUAUCUGGCGCCCUCUGAUGUCCAAAUUCAAUGCUGCCAGGAAUAAUGAAAAAAUAAUAUUUGGAUUGAUUCUUUAGUCUGUCAACAUUUGAUGUUGUUAAUAAAACGAAGAGGAUUUCUGUAAAAAACAUAUUUUCUUAAUUUUUUCCCC